UACGUAGGGUGCAAGCGUUGUCCGGAAUUAUUGGGCGUAAAGAGCUCGUAGGCGGUUUGUCGCGUCGGCUGUGAAAACUCGGGGCUCAACUCCGAGCUUGCAGUCGAUACGGGCAGACUAGAGUUCGGCAGGGGAGACUGGAAUUCCUGGUGUAGCGGUGAAAUGCGCAGAUAUCAGGAGGAACACCGGUGGCGAAGGCGGGCCUCUGGGCCGAUACUGACGCUGAGGAGCGAAAGCGUGGGGAGCGAACAGG
rnacentral:rRNA from 1 species